AAUUCUCAAUCUCUACAACUUUGUUGUUUAGUGGAUUGGAUGUGGGGGUUUCUGUGGGUGUUUAAGUACAUUCCACUCCCCUGAAAUGAAUUAGCUGGAAUGCCUCGGCAAGUCCAACUAUCAGUGUGAUAAAUAUCUACUGUGGUUGUUGCAUGAGGGUAUCUGCUUCUCAACUGUCGCAAGACAACUUGAAUCA
rnacentral:misc_RNA from 1 species